UACGAAGGGGGCUAGCGUUGCUCGGAUUCAUUGGGCGUAAAGCGCGCGUAGGCGGCUCGGAAAGUCGGUCGUGAAAUGCCGGGGCUCAACCCCGGGACUGCGUCCGAUACUCCCGAGCUGGAGGCAGGUAGGGGAGAUCGGAAUUCCUGGUGUAGCGGUGAAAUGCGCAGAUAUCAGGAGGAACACCGGUGGCGAAGGCGGAUCUCUGGGCCUUGCCUGACGCUGAGGCGCGAAAGCUAGGGGAGCGAACAGG
rnacentral:rRNA from 1 species